rnacentral:rRNA from 1 species
AUUGAACGCUGGCGGCAGGCCUAACACAUGCAAGUCGAGCGAGCGGCGGACGGGUGAGUAAUGUAUGGGGACUGCCCGCUAGAGGGGGAAUACUACUGGAAACGGUAGCUAAUAACGGAUACUAUCGGAUAACCCAUAUGGGAUUAGCUAGUAGGUGAGGUAAUGGCUCACCUAGGCAACGAUCCCUAGCUGGUCUGAGGGGAUGAUCGGCCAAACUGGGACUGGGACACGGCCCAGACUCCUACGGAGGCCGCAGGGGGGAAUAUUGCACAAGGGGCGCAAGCCUGAUGCAGCCAUGCCGCUGGUAUGAAGAAGGCCCUAGGGUUGUAAAGUACUUUCAGUCGGGAGGCGUUACCGACAGAAGAAGCACCGGCUAACUCCGUGCCAGCAGCCGCGGUAAUUC